ACUAUAAACACUCUCAGAGCACUGAAGCAUGUGCUGACAAUGCAAAGAAGUGGGCAGGAUUUACAACAGCUUGUGCUGAGAACAAACUCAUAUACACUAGAGUUACACAAUCAUGACUUUAUUUAGUAUGUUUAUUGUGACUCCUGAGACACUGAGGAUGUGCAGAUGAACGUCCAUCUCUGUGUCCAUAUUCAGUCAUGUGACCAUCAUCACUGCUACACUUCCACUAGAUGAAGCGCCAUCACUAAAGUAAGAUCAUGAAUCAUGAGUGUGUUCAGAAAGUAUCAGGACUGAUUGUGAAUCUCUAAUCAGAGUUCAUGGUGUCACUCCAUCUAUCAUGAAGCCUCAUGUGUGUCUGAAAUCAUCAGAUGGAGAAGAAACAGGCUGUUAAAGAUGGACACAUAUUAGAGCUUGUUCACGUUUCAUGAUCUUGUGUGGAGAUUCAGAACCAGUCCAGAUACUUUUAUAACACACCUUGAAUAUGAAAACAUGCUUGACUGUGUAGAACAUGCAAAACACCUUUUAUAUCUUCAUUGUCACACUUUCUAUUGACUUUGGCUCUAAUAUUCAAUAAAGUCAUUAUUUGAACAGAUUCUCACUGAAGAUUGAAGUGUGAAGCUGCAGGUUUUUCUGUGAAUCAUGAUGAUUGAUCUGCAUAUGAAGAACAGAAGCAUCAUUAUGAGAAACUCCACAACAUCAUCCAUGAUCAAAGAGGUCAAAGGUCACCUCAGAGGUCACAGCUCAUCACAUAUAUUUCUUUAAACAGUGUUAUAUCAGAAAGCAUUUAGUCAAAUCUGAAUGAGUGAGUGUUGAGAAGAGCUGAGGAUCUUCUAAUAUCAGUGUGUUGAAGUGUUGUUUCUCUCUCUCUGCUGGAGUGUGUGUUCACUCGAGUGGAAUAGAGGUUUUUGUACGAGCGUUUCAUUAGAUUGUAUCACUGUGGUACACAUUCGGUGGAGGAACUAAACUGGUGAUCGCUGGUCCCACAGUGAAGCCCUCAGUGUCUCUGCUGCCGCCCUCUUCUCUGCAGAUCUCUGGAGACUCAGCCGCACUGCUCUGCCUGCUCAGCUCUUACUCUCCACAGGGGGCGCUGGUGAGCUGGACACUGGACGGGUCAGAGGUCACCGAGGGGGUUCUGACCAGCGCAGAGAGCCAGCAGGACGGCCGCUACAGCCGCAGUAGCGUCCUGACCCUCAGCAAAGCACGCUGGGAAGAGGGAGAGCUGUACGUCUGCAGAGUAACACAUGAUGGAGCUCCUCAUGAGGUCUCGUUCCACAAGAGCUCUGAGUGCUGAUGUUUCUCUCCUGAAGAUGAGCCGUAUCUGAGUGUCCUGUGUCAGGCAGGAUUCACAUGAGUCUAGUGCUGCAGCUGUAGUGCUUUACAACUCCAUACUGAAACAGUGUGUGUGUGUGUGUGUGUGUGUGUGUGUGUGAACUUUCAAUCUGCUGUGUUUGCUGCAACAUUCAAUAAAGCUUCUCAACAAGUUCA